rnacentral:piRNA from 1 species
UGGCGAUGAGGAGGUACCUAUUGUGUUGAGUA